GGGAAUGUGGCUCAGUGGUAAAUAAAGCACACACCUUGCAUGCAUGAGGCCCUGGGUUCAAUCCCCAGCACUCCCA